UACGUAGGGUGCGAGCGUUGUCCGGAAUUAUUGGGCGUAAAGGGCUCGUAGGCGGUUUGUCGCGUCGGGAGUGAAAACCUUGGGCUUAACUCAGGGCUUGCUUUCGAUACGGGCAGACUAGAGGUAUGCAGGGGAGAACGGAAUUCCUGGUGUAGCGGUGGAAUGCGCAGAUAUCAGGAGGAACACCGGUGGCGAAGGCGGGUCUCUGGGCCGACAUUGACGCUGAGGAGCGAAAGCGUGGGGAGCGAACAGG
rnacentral:rRNA from 1 species